GACGAACGCUGGCGGCGUGCUUAACACAUGCAAGUCGAACGGAAAGGCCCUGCUUUUGUGGGGUGCUCGAGUGGCGAACGGGUGAGUAACACGUGAGUAACCUGCCCUUGACUUUGGGUUAACUUCAGGAAACUGGGGCUAAUACCGGAUAGGAGCUCCUGCUGCAUGGUGGGGGUUGGAAAGUUUCGGUGGUUGGGGAUGGACUCGCGGCUUAUCAGCUUGUUGGUGGGGUAGUGGCUUACCAAGGCUUUGACGGGUAGCCGGCCUGAGAGGGUGACCGGCCACAUUGGGACUGAGAUACGGCCCAGACUCCUACGGGAGGCAGCAGUGGGGAAUAUUGCACAAUGGGCGGAAGCCUGAUGCAGCAACGCCGCGUGCGGGAUGACGGCCUUCGGGUUGUAAACCGCUUUCGCCUGUGACGAAGCGUGAGUGACGGUAAUGGGUAAAGAAGCACCGGCUAACUACGUG
rnacentral:rRNA from 1 species